UACAGAGGUCUCGAGCGUUGUUCGGAUUCAUUGGGCGUAAAGGGUGCGUAGGUGGCUUGGUAAGUCGGAUGUGAAAUCCCGGGGCUCAACCCCGGAACUGCAUUCGAUACUGCCGGGCUGGAGUACUGGAGAGGAGAUCGGAAUUUACGGUGUAGCAGUGAAAUGCGUAGAUAUCGUAAGGAAGACCGGUGGCGAAGGCGGAUCUCUGGACAGUUACUGACACUGAGGCACGAAGGCCAGGGGAGCAAACGGG
rnacentral:rRNA from 1 species